GUACUUGCCUCGGUAGGACGUAUACUGGAACUGGAACGAUACAGAGAAGAUUAGCAUGUACCCUACGCUAAUAUGACACGGAAAAAUCGUGAAGCGUUCUACAUUUUU